rnacentral:rRNA from 1 species
UACAGAGGUCUCAAGCGUUGUUCGGAUCCAUUGGGCGUAAAGGGUGUGUAGGUGGCGCGCUAAGUCGGGUGUGAAAUUUCGGAGCUUAACUCCGAAACUGCAUUCGAUACUGGCGUGCUUGAGGACUGGAGAGGAGACUGGAAUUCAUGGUGUAGCAGUGAAAUGCGUAGAGAUCAUGAGGAAGACCAGUGGCGAAGGCGGGUCUCUGGACAGUUCCUGACACUGAGACACGAAGGCCAGGGGAGCAAACGGG